GAUUUGCUGGACGAAGAAGAUGAUGAUGAGGAGGAGGUUGAAGAUCGCACACACCAGGCAAGCGGAGAAACCGUUCUCCUCGACAGCCAGGAACUGUUUAUCACCCUGGAGCCAAAACCCUCCCAACCAUCCCAACCCAGGCUCCCGCACCUUGAAGGCAGAGAAGGCAUCUCUGCUGCAAAUGUUUCAACCCUGCGACUAGCAUCUCUGUCCCAAAGGCUAGCGCAGAUAAGAAGGC